rnacentral:rRNA from 1 species
CGGCCACAUUGGGACUGAGACACGGCCCAGACUCCUACGGGAGGCAGCAGUGGGGGAUAUUGCACAAUGGGGGAAACCCUGAUGCAGCGACGCCGCGUGGAGGAAGAAGGUCUUCGGAUUGUAAACUCCUGUUGUUGAGGAAGAUAAUGACGGUACUCAACAAGGAAGUGACGGCUAACUACGUGCCAGCAGCCGCGGUAAAACGUAGGUCACAAGCGUUGUCCGGAAUUACUGGGUGUAAAGGGAGCGCAGGCGGGAAGACAAGUUGGAAGUGAAAUCUAUGGGCUCAACCCAUAAACUGCUUUCAAAACUGUUUUUCUUGAGUAGUGCAGAGGUAGGCGGAAUUCCCGGUGUAGCGGUGGAAUGCGUAGAUAUCGGGAGGAACACCAGUGGCGAAGGCGGCCUACUGGGCACCAACUGACGCUGAGGCUCGAAAGUGUGGGUAGCAAACAGGAUUAGAUACCCUGGUAGUCCACACCGUAAACGAUGAUUACUAGGUGUUGGAGGAUUGACCCCUUCAGUGCCGCAGUUAACACAAUAAGUAAUCCACCUGGGGAGUACGACCGCAAGGUUGAAACUCAAAGGAAUUGACGGGGGCCCGCACAAGCAGUGGAGUAUGUGGUUUAAUUCGACGCAACGCGAAGAACCUUACCAAGUCUUGACAUCCCUUGACGAACAUAGAAAUAUGUUUUCUCUUCGGAGCAAGGAGACAGGUGGUGCAUGGUUGUCGUCAGCUCGUGUCGUGAGAUGUUGGGUUAAGUCC